UACAGAGGAUGCAAGCGUUAUCCGGAAUGAUUGGGCGUAAAGCGUCUGUAGGUGGCUUUUUAAGUCCGCCGUCAAAUCCCAGGGCUCAACUCUGGACAGGCGGUGGAAACUACCAAGCUGGAGUACGGUAGGGGCAGAGGGAAUUCCCGGUGUAGCGGUGAAAUGCGUAGAGAUCGGGAAGAACAUCGGUGGCGAAGGCGGCACUCUGGGCCGGUACUGACGCUGAGGAGCGAAAGCGUGGGGAGCAAACAGG
rnacentral:rRNA from 1 species